UCAAGUGAAGAAGCGCAUACGGUGGAUGCCUUGGCAGUCAGAGGCGAUGAAAGACGUGGUAGCCUGCGAAAAGCUUCGGGGAGUCGGCAAACAGACUUUGAUCCGGAGAUCUCUGAAUGGGGGAACCCACCUAGGAUAACCUAGGUAUCUUGUACUGAAUCCAUAGGUGCAAGAGGCGAACCAGGGGAACUGAAACAUCUAAGUACCCUGAGGAAAAGAAAUCAACCGAGAUUCCCUUAGUAGUGGCGAGCGAACGGGGAUUAGCCCUUAAGCUUCAUUGAUUUUAGCGGAACGCUCUGGAAAGUGCGGCCAUAGUGGGUGAUAGCCCCGUACGCGAAAGGAUCUUUGAAGUGAAAUCGAGUAGGACGGAGCACGAGAAACUUUGUCUGAACAUGGGGGGACCAUCCUCCAAGGCUAAAUACUACUGACUGACCGAUAGUGAACCAGUACCGUGAGGGAAAGGCGAAAAGAACCCCGGAGAGGGGAGUGAAAUAGAACCUGAAACCGUAUGCGUACAAGCAGUGGGAGCCUACUUGUUAGGUGACUGCGUACCUUUUGUAUAAUGGGUCAGCGACUUAUAUUCAGUGGCAAGCUUAACCGUAUAGGGUAGGCGUAGCGAAAGCGAGUCUUAAUAGGGCGUUUAGUCGCUGGGUAUAGACCCGAAACCGGGCGAUCUAUCCAUGAGCAGGUUGAAGGUUAGGUAACACUGACUGGAGGACCGAACCCACUCCCGUUGAAAAGGUAGGGGAUGACUUGUGGAUCGGAGUGAAAGGCUAAUCAAGCUCGGAGAUAGCUGGUUCUCCUCGAAAGCUAUUUAGGUAGCGCCUCAUGUAUCACUCUGGGGGGUAGAGCACUGUUUCGGCUAGGGGGUCAUCCCGACUUACCAAACCGAUGCAAACUCCGAAUACCCAGAAGUGCCGAGCAUGGGAGACACACGGCGGGUGCUAACGUCCGUCGUGAAAAGGGAAACAACCCAGACCGCCAGCUAAGGUCCCAAAGUUGUGGUUAAGUGGUAAACGAUGUGGGAAGGCUUAGACAGCUAGGAGGUUGGCUUAGAAGCAGCCAUCCUUUAAAGAAAGCGUAAUAGCUCACUAGUCGAGUCGGCCUGCGCGGAAGAUGUAACGGGGCUCAAACCACACACCGAAGCUGCGGGUGUCACGUAAGUGACGCGGUAGAGGAGCGUUCUGUAAGCCUGUGAAGGUGAGUUGAGAAGCUUGCUGGAGGUAUCAGAAGUGCGAAUGCUGACAUGAGUAACGACAAUGGGUGUGAAAAACACCCACGCCGAAAGACCAAGGGUUCCUGCGCAACGUUAAUCGACGCAGGGUUAGUCGGUUCCUAAGGCGAGGCUGAAAAGCGUAGUCGAUGGGAAACAGGUUAAUAUUCCUGUACUUCUGGUUACUGCGAUGGAGGGACGGAGAAGGCUAGGCCAGCUUGGCGUUGGUUGUCCAAGUUUAAGGUGGUAGGCUGAAAUCUUAGGUAAAUCCGGGGUUUCAAGGCCGAGAGCUGAUGACGAGUCGUCUUUUAGAUGACGAAGUGGUUGAUGCCAUGCUUCCAAGAAAAGCUUCUAAGCUUCAGGUAACCAGGAACCGUACCCCAAACCGACACAGGUGGUCGGGUAGAGAAUACCAAGGCGCUUGAGAGAACUCGGGUGAAGGAACUAGGCAAAAUGGCACCGUAACUUCGGGAGAAGGUGCGCCGGCUAGGGUGAAGGAUUUACUCCGUAAGCUCUGGCUGGUCGAAGAUACCAGGCCGCUGCGACUGUUUAUUAAAAACACAGCACUCUGCAAACACGAAAGUGGACGUAUAGGGUGUGACGCCUGCCCGGUGCCGGAAGGUUAAUUGAUGGGGUUAGCGCAAGCGAAGCUCUUGAUCGAAGCCCCGGUAAACGGCGGCCGUAACUAUAACGGUCCUAAGGUAGCGAAAUUCCUUGUCGGGUAAGUUCCGACCUGCACGAAUGGCGUAACGAUGGCGGCGCUGUCUCCACCCGAGACUCAGUGAAAUUGAAAUCGCUGUGAAGAUGCAGUGUAUCCGCGGCUAGACGGAAAGACCCCGUGAACCUUUACUGUAGCUUUGCACUGGACUUUGAGCCUGCUUGUGUAGGAUAGGUGGGAGGCUUUGAAGCGUGGACGCCAGUUCGCGUGGAGCCAUCCUUGAAAUACCACCCUGGCAUGCUUGAGGUUCUAACUCUGGUCCGUGAUCCGGAUCGAGGACAGUGUAUGGUGGGCAGUUUGACUGGGGCGGUCUCCUCCUAAAGAGUAACGGAGGAGUACGAAGGUGCGCUCAGACCGGUCGGAAAUCGGUCGCAGAGUAUAAAGGCAAAAGCGCGCUUGACU
rnacentral:rRNA from 1 species